CCGAUGGCUCCCGCAGAUCGCGGGGCUUGUCAGCCUCUGUAACCGUGUGAGCCAGUCUCCUCGCCCUCCCUCUUCUGGCUGUAUCUGCGUGUUCGUGUCUAUGAGGACGUGGGUCCUGUUUCCUUCUGGCUGUUUCUCUGGAGAACUCUGGCUCCUGCCCUCUGCUUAGUUGUCUGUGGCUCUGAGUCGUGGCCAAGCUGCAAGUUCUUGUCUGCAGUCGAAGGACCAACAGCGGUACCAUCACCUGCCAUCGCCCGCUCCACUCACCAGGACGCCAGUUGGGACUUCUGCUCCACCCUGACUGUGAGGCAGCCCCCCGGGGAUCCUGCUAAGACACGGCUGCUGACUCAGGAGACGGGGGUGCCCGAAACCCUGCAUUUCUAACAAACUCCCAGGAAAGGCCAUAAUCCUGGUCCUUGGGCCAGAGUUUGAGAAGCUAAAAAUAAAUAACUUACAGGGUCCCUUGCCUUUCCUCAAAGUCUGGUGGUAUUGUCUAGUAAUAAGCGCUCUCAGUACCCAGCACGGAGAACACGAUGGUUCAACAAGGGCUGGAGGCAAAGGAGAUGCAGUGUGUCUUCCAAAAUUACCAGCUCUAAUGAACGGCCGUGCCUCCGCCUGGGAGGAGAGCUGCCUCCAGCCAGCUCAUGUGCAGGCGCUUCUCCUCUGGGAUUUACGUUGUUGCUGUGUGGUAGCUUCUUUGGAAAAUUGCUUGCUUUAUUGCCCCAACACAUUUUUGUCUCAUUAUGGGACACAAUAAAAGAUAAUGAGUUAAUGGUUGAAAGAAA